UCCAGGAAGUGUAAACAUCCUACACUCUCGGUGUGGCGCCCCUGGUGGCCGGGAGUGGGAAUGUUUAUACUGCCUGGCU
rnacentral:miRNA from 1 species